GACGAACGCUGGCGGCGUGCCUAAUACAUGCAAGUAGAACGCUGAAGAGAGGAGCUUGCUCUUCUUGGAUGAGUUGCGAACGGGUGAGUAACGCGUAGGUAACCUGCCUUGUAGCGGGGGAUAACUAUUGGAAAUGAUAGCUAAUACCGCAUAACAAUGGAUGACACAUGUCAUUUAUUUGAAAGGGGCAAUUGCUCCACUACAAGAUGGACCUGCGUUGUAUUAGCUAGUAGGUGAGGUAAUGGCUCACCUAGGCGACGAUACAUAGCCGACCUGAGAGGGUGAUCGGCCACACUGGGACUGAGACACGGCCCAGACUCCUACGGGAGGCAGCAGUAGGGAAUCUUCGGCAAUGGGGGCAACCCUGACCGAGCAACGCCGCGUGAGUGAAGAAGGUUUUCGGAUCGUAAAGCUCUGUUGUAAGUCAAGAACGGGUGUGAGAGUGGAAAGUUCACACUGUGACGGUAGCUUACCAGAAAGGGACGGCUAACUACGUG
rnacentral:rRNA from 1 species